rnacentral:rRNA from 1 species
GGUGCAGGCGGUUCUUCAAGUCAGAUGUGAAAUCUCCCGGCUUAACUGGGAGGGUGCAUUUGAUACUGUUGGACUAGAGUGCAGUAGAGGAAGGUGGAAUUCCCGGUGUAGUGGUGGAAUGCGUAGAUAUCGGGAGGAACACUAGUGGCGAAGGCGGCCUUCUGGGCUGUUACUGACGCUGAGACCCGAAAGCGUGGGGAGCAAACAGGAUUAGAUACCCUGGUAGUCC